UUGAACGCUGGCGGCAGGCCUAACACAUGCAAGUCGAGCGGCAGCCACGGGUACUUGUACCUGGUGGCGAGCGGCGGACGGGUGAGUAAUGCCUAGGAAUCUGCCUGGUAGUGGGGGAUAACGCUCGGAAACGGAACGCUAAUACCGCAUACGUCCUACGGGAGAAAGCAGGGGACCUUCGGGCCCUUGCGCUAUCAGAUGAGCCUAGGUCGGAUUAGCUAGUUGGUGAGGGUAAUGGCUCACCAAGGCGACGAUCCGUAACUGGUCUGAGAGGAUGAUCAGUCACACUGGAACUGAGACACGGUCCAGACUCCUACGGAGGCAGCAGUGGGGAAUAUUGGACAAUGGGCGAAAGCCUGAUCCAGCCAUGCCGCGUGUGUGAAGAAGGUCUUCGGAUUGUAAAGCACUUUAAGUUGGGAGGAAGGGCAGUGUACCUUAAUACGUACUUGCUUUUGACGUUACCGACAGAAUAAGCACCGGCUAACUCUGUGCCAGCAGCCGCGGGUAAUACAGAGGGUGGCAAGCGUUAUCGGAAUUACUGGGGCGUAAAGCGCGCGUAGGCGGUGCGUUAAGUGACUGUGAAAUCCCCGGCUCAACCUGGGAACUGCAGUCAAACUGUCGAGCUAGAGUAUGGUAGAGGGUGAGUGGAAUUUCCUGUGUAGCGGUGAAAUGCGUAGAUAUAGGAAGGAACACCUGUGGCGAAGGCUGACCACCUGGACCUGAUACUGACCUGAGGUGCGAAAGCGAUGGGGAGCAACAGGAUUAGAUACCCUGGUAGUCCUACGCCCGUAAACCGAUGUCAACUAGCCUUGUUGUGGUAGCCUGAGCUCUAGUGGCGCAGCUAACGCAUUAAGCUUGACCGCCUGGGGAGUACGGCCGCAAGGCUUGAAACUCAAAUGAAUUGACGGGGGCCCGCACAAGCGGUGGAGGCAUGUGGUUUAAUUCGAAGCAACGCGAAGAACCUUACCAUGCCUUGAACAUCAAUGAACUUUACAGAGAUGGAGUGGUCCUUCGGCGCAUUGACGCACAGGUGCUGCAUGGCUGUCGUCAGCUCGUGUCGUGAGAUGUUGGGUUAAGUCCCGCUAACGAGCGCAACCCUUAGUCCUAGUUACCAGCAGGUCAAUGGCUGGGCACUCUAGUGAGACCUGCCCGGACAAACCGGGAGGAAGGUGGGGAUGACGUCGAGUCCUCAUGGCCCUUUACGGUCAUGGGCUACACACGUGCCUACAAUGACUCGGGUACAAGACCGGGUCGCAACGCCGCGAGGUGGAGCUAAUCGGAAAAAGCCGGCCCCAGUUCGGAUUGCAGUCUGCAACUCGACUGCAUGAAGCUGGAAUCGCUAGUAAUCGCAGAUCAGCACGCUGCGGUGAAUACGUUCCCGGGCCUUGUACACACCGCCCGUCACAUCACGAAAGUGGGCUGUACUAGAAAUCGGUGCGCUAACCGCAAGGAGGCCAGCCGCUCAAGAGUAUAGCUCAUGAUUGGGGUG
rnacentral:rRNA from 1 species